rnacentral:rRNA from 1 species
UGGGGAAUUUUGGACAAUGGGCGCAAGCCUGAUCCAGCAAUGCCGCGUGCAGGAUGAAGGCCUUCGGGUUGUAAACUGCUUUUGUACGGAACGAAAAGCCUCUCUCUAAUACAGGGGGGUGAUGACGGUACCGUAAGAAUAAGCACCGGCUAACUACGUGCCAGCAGCCGCGGUAAUACGUAGGGUGCAAGCGUUAAUCGGAAUUACUGGGCGUAAAGCGUGCGCAGGCGGUUUUGUAAGACAGUGGUGAAAUCCCCGGGCUCAACCUGGGAACUGCCAUUGUGACUGCAAGGCUGGAGUGCGGCGGAGGGGGAUGGAAUUCCGCGUGUAGCAGUGAAAUGCGUAGAUAUGCGGAGGAACACCGAUGGCAAAGGCAAUCCCCUGGGCCUGCACUGACGCUCAUGCACGAAAGCGUGGGGAGCAAACAGGAUUAGAUACCCUGGUAGUCCACGCCCUAAACGAUGUCAACUGGUUGUUGGGGAUUUAUUUCUUCAGUAACGAAGCU